rnacentral:rRNA from 1 species
UACAGAGGUGGCAAGCGUUGUUCGGAAUUACUGGGCGUAAAGGGCGCGUAGGCGGCCAUCUAAGUCAGACGUGAAAUCCCCCGGCUUAACCUGGGAACUGCGUCUGAUACUGGACGGCUUGAGUAUGGGAGAGGGAUGUAGAAUUCCAGGUGUAGCGGUGAAAUGCGUAGAUAUCUGGAGGAAUACCGGUGGCGAAGGCGGCAUCCUGGACCGGCAUUGACGCUGAGUGAGCGAAAGCUAGGGGAGCAAACGGG